AUGAGUGUCGUUUUGCCCCCAAAAAAGGGACCUCAGCCCCCAAAUGUGUCACGUUUCACCCCAAAAACAGAAAGGGGCAGCACCGGGCUUUCCCUGAGAACCUCAGCCCCCAAAUGUGUCACGUUUCACCCCAAAAACAGAAAGGGGCAGCAUGGGGGUCUCCCUGAGGACCUCAGCACCCAAACGUGUCCCAUUUCACCCCAAAACCAAAAGGGGCACCACAGGGGUUUCCCUGGGAACCUCAGCACCCAAAUGUGUCCCGUUUCACCCCAAAAACAGAAAGGGGCAGCACGGGGGUCUCCCCGAGGACCUCAGCACCCAAACGUGUCCCGUUUCACCCCAAAAACAGAAAGGGGCAGCACCGGGGUUGCCCUGGGGACCUCAGCACCCAAAUGUGUCCUGUUUCACCCCAAAAAGAAAGGGGGACAGCGGGGACCCCAGCACCCAAAUGGGUCCCAUUUUCCCCCAAAAAGGGAUGGCACUGGGGUCUCCCCGGGGACCUCAGCACCCAAACGGGUCCCAUUUCACCCCAAAAAGAAAGGGGGACAGCGGGAACCCCAGCACCCAAAUGGGUCCUGUUUCCCCCAAAAAACAAGGGGAGAAAGUGGGGAACCCCAGCACCCAAACAGGUCCCAUUUCACCCCAAAAACAGAAAGGGGGACAGUGGGGACCCCAGCACCCAAACGGGUCCCGUUUUGCCCCAAAACCAAAAGGGGCAGCACGGGGGUCUCCCCGGGGACCUCAGCACCCAAACGUGUCCCAUUUCACCCCAAAAAGAAAGGGGGACAGUGGGGGCCCCAGCACCCAAACGUGUCCCGUUUCACCCCAAAAACAGAAAGGGGCAGCACUGGGCUUUCCCUGAGAACCUCAGCACCCAAACGCGUCCCGUUUCGCCCCAAAACCCCAAACCCCUCAUCUCGGGUGGUCUCACCGCGGCUGCGUGGCCGGCAUGAUGGGCUCCGGCCUGCGUUUGGCCUGGGGGGCUUCCUCCUCGGCGCCCCCCCCGGCGGAACCCUGCGCCCCCAGCACGGCGAUGGCUUGUCCCUGCGCCAGCGCCGAGAGGCGCCGCUUGAUCACCACGCUCUCCGGCUUGGCCGCCUUCUCCUCCUUGGGUUCCUCCUUCAGGUGCUUCGUCUGCUCCACGCCUGCCGUGGAGAGGACGGGGGUGACCCCAAAUUUCAUUCAAACCCCCCCCAAAAAAAAAUUAAAUAUGAAUUUACCAGGGCCCAGCCCCGCUGCUGUCAUCUGCGUGGCCAUCAGGCGCGCCAAGUGCUUGAUUUGCGCCUCGGUGCCCGCCGACUCCACCGGCGUGUAGGUGGCUUGGAAGGAGGCUGGCAUGGCCUCGGGCAGGUACACCAUGCUGAUCAGCACCUGGGGGGGGGCCACGAGGCUUAG
rnacentral:lncRNA from 1 species